rnacentral:rRNA from 1 species
UACGUAGGGGGCAAGCGUUGUCCGGAUUUAUUGGGCGUAAAGAGCGUGUAGGCGGCCUGACAGGUCUGCUGUGAAAACUCGAGGCUCAACCUCGAGAUGUCGGCGGAAACCGUCUGGCUAGAGUCCGGAAGAGGAGAGUGGAAUUCCUGGUGUAGCGGUGGAAUGCGCAGAUAUCAGGAAGAACACCGGUGGCGAAGGCGGCUCUCUGGGCCUUCCCUGACGCUGAGGAGCGAAAGCGUGGGUAGCGAACAGG